CCUACGGGUGGCAGCAGUGAGGAAUAUUGGUCAAUGGGCGCGAGCCUGAACCAGCCAAGCAGCGUGAAGGAUGACUGCCCUACGGGUUGUAAACUUCUUUUAUAAAGGAAUAAAGUGAGGCACGUGUGCCUUUUUGUAUGUACUUUAUGAAUAAGGAUCGGCUAACUCCGUGCCAGCAGCCGCGGUAAUACGGAGGGUCCGAGCGUUAUCCGGAAUUAUUGGGGUUAAAGGGAGCGUAGGUGGGUUGUUAAGUCAGUUGUGAAAGUUUGGGGCUCAACCGUAAAAAUGCAAUUGAUACUGGCAGCCUUGAGUACAGUUGAGGUAGGCGGAAUUCGAGGUGUAGCGGUGAAAUGCGUAGAUAUCACGAGGAACACCGAUUGCGAAGGCAGCUUACUAAACUGCCACUGACAUUGAGGCGCGAAAGUGUGGGGAUCAAACAGGAUUAGAUACCCGAGUAGUC
rnacentral:rRNA from 1 species